rnacentral:lncRNA from 1 species
CUUGGAGUAUCUACCUCCAGAGAUGUGUUCAGAGUUGGAAAGUGUUUCCAGAACUCCCAGCACAUUCUGAAAUUCCUCUGGGAGACUGCAUUUCAAGGCCAAAUUAAAAGACACACAUACAAAUCUGGUCUUCAACUUAAAUAGUGUCUGAUAGUUUAUGGGCUCUCAUAUUGCCUUGUUUUUUUGUUCAUUUGUCAACAUGAAGAAUCAAACUCUGGAUCUGGGCAUUGGUGGCUCAUGCCUUUAAUCCCAGUACUCAUGAGGCAAAGGCAGGUGGAUCUCUGUGAGUUCAAGGCCAGCCUGGUCUACAGAGCAGGUUCCAGGACAGCCAUGGCUAUGCACAGAAAUCUGUCUUGAAAAAACAAAGAAGGAGGAGGAGGAAGAAGAGGAGGAGGAGGAGGAGGAGGAGGAGGAGAAGAAGAUGAAGAAGAAGAAGAAGAAGAAGAAGAAGAAGAAGAAGAAGAAGAAGAAGAAGAGGAAGAGGAAGAGGAAGAGGAAGAGGAAGAGGAAAAGAAGACAGGAACCAAACUCAAGGCCUCUUGCCUGGCUGCCCUUGAACUCACUGUGUAGCCACGGUUGGCUAUGAACUCCUGGUUUUUCUGACUUUGUCUCCCCAGUGCUGGGAUUACAAGAGCAUGCCUUCACACCUAGCCAAGAAAUUAAUUUAUAUAUCAAUAUGAAGAGGUCCUAAAAUUAUAAGUAGAAAAAUGAAGUUGCAGAACAUUCUAUAUAGUACAGUGACUUUUACUUCAGCUGUUUAAACAAUGCUUUGUAUCACUUAUAUCAUUCACAGCAUUUAUAUCACUAUACAGCCUGGAAAUGGGUGGGGCCAGAUGUGCUGUAGUCCCACCCCUUAGGAGAUGGAGACAGGAGAAUCGGGAGCUGAGGUCAACCAUGGAUGUAUGUGGAAUUCAAUGCCAGCCUGGGCUGCAAGAGGUCACAACCUCCAUUAAAGCAUGAGCCAGAAGGCUGCACAUGAAGAGAGAAACUCCAAUUGUAUUUUUCCCAGGCAUGGAGGACUGAGGAGUGUGGGGAGUGGGGGUGAGGAGUAUUACUGUGGAUGGAACGCAAGUCCUCCUGCAGGCUAUGCCCUAUUCCUGUUCCGCUGGACUUCCUAGUCAACCCCUCCCCCCCAGUUGUAUCUUUGUGCUUGAUUCCUUCCUCCUUUCCUCCCUCCCUCCCUCCCUCCUUCCUUCCUUUCUUGAUUCUUUCCUCCCCUUCUUCCUUCCAGUUUUGAAUUUCUUUGUAAAUUUCAUUUUUAUUUUUAUGUGUAUAGGUGUUUUGUCUGCAGGCUUAUCUGUGUACCAUGUGCAUGCCUGAUGCCUCUGGGGGCCAGAAGAAGGCACCAAAUCCCCUGAAACUGAAGUCACAAUGGCUGUGAGCCAACAUGCAGGUUUUGGGAAUUGAACUCAGAUACUCUGAAAGAGAAGUCAGUGCUCUUAACCACUUAGUCAUAUCUCCAGCCACAAUGUUUAAACACUCACAACUGUGUGUGUGUGUGUGUGUGUGUGUGUGUGUGUGUGUGUGUGUGUGUCCAGGUGUAGUGGCUCACUCCUGAAAUUCCAGUACACAGGAGACAGAGGCAGGAAAAUCACUACAAGUUUAAGGCCAUUCUGUAUAACAAUUUUAGUUCAUUCAAGGCUACAUACUGAGACCCUAUCUUAAUAAGUAAAUAAAUAAAUAAAUGUAGCACACACAACAAAAUAGGUAUUUUUUUAAAAAGUUCAUUCAAAUUGGUUUAUUAUAAAUCCUGCAUGUUUUCUGGAUGUUCAAAAUAUUUUAUAAAUAUUUUGAAUAAAAAUAUACUUUUGCUUCAGAAUACUACGCAGGUAGAAUUUCUAACAAUUAAAUUGAUUACAUUGACAUUAAAGUUAAAUUUAAAGUGCAGUUCUUGGUAGUUCUAGCCUCCUUUCUUGUGCUCGGUAGCUUCAUUCUCUCUCUCUCUCUCUCUCUCUCUCUCUCUCUCUCUCUCUCUCUCUCUUUAUCUCUCUCCCUUGAAGCAAAACCCAUAGAGGAACACUGUCUACUGGCUUUCUCAGACAAUUUUCUUUUUUGGGCUGGGGAUAGUUCAAGAUAGGGUUUCUCUGUAUAGCCCAGGCUGUCCAGGUAGACCAGGAUGGCCUCAAACUCACAGAGAUCUGCCUGCCUCUGCCUCCCAUGUGCUGGGAUUAAAGGCGUGGCCUUGUGUGUUUUUUUGGUUUUUUUGUUUUGUUUUGUUUGUUUUUUUCCUUUGGGACAGGAUAUCACUAUGUAGCUCCGGCUGUCCUAGAACUUGGUGUGGGAUAAUGCUCUCGUACACUGUAAAGAUUUGUCACUCAUAUUGAUUUAAAUAAAAAUGCUGAUUGGCCAGUAGUCAAGCAGGAAGUACAGGCAGGGUGACCAGAAGAGAAUUCUGGGAAAAGGAGAGGUAGAGACACAUUCGACAGCCAGAUGCAGAAGAAGCAACAUGAGAAUGCCUUACUGAGAAAAGGUACCAAGCUGUCAGGCUAAACAUAGAUAAAAAAAAAUAUGGGUUGGUUUAAGUUGUAAGGGCUUGUUAGUAAUAAGCCUGAGCAAUAGGCCAAACAUAUAUCGUUUUAUUCAAGACAGAGUUUCUCUGUGGCUUUGGAGGCUGUCCUGGAACUAGCUCUUAUAGACCAGGCUGGUCUUGAACUCACAGAGAUCCACCUGCCUCUGCCUUCCGAGUGCUGGGACUAAAGGUGUGCACCACCACCACCCAACUAAACAGUUUGUAAUUAAUAUAAGCUUCUGUGUGUCUAUUUGGAACUGAAUGACUGCAGGAUGGGGUGGAACAGAAACCUGUGUCUAUAAGAACUUCCUAUGUAGACUAGGCUGGCCUCAAACUCACAGAGAUCCACCUGUCUCUGCUUCCUGAGUACUGAGAUUAAGUGUGUACCACCAUACCUAGUUUUCUUACACAGCUAGCUCAACCCAGGGAUGCUACCACCCACAGUGAGCUGGUCCCUCCUACAUCAAUGGGCAAUGAAAAAUACCUUAUGGACAAGCCCACGGGCCAAUCUAUUGAAAGAAAUUCUUCAAUUUGGGGGCGGGUCCCUCUUUCCAGGUGUGUCAAGCUGACCACCAAGAUUAGGCAUCACACUUUGUUUUUCUGUUUCCUUCCUUUGUAUUUUUGGUUAGUUGGUUUGGGAGUUGGUGUUAGAGAUCAAACCCAAGACCUAAUGCUGAGCUUCACCAGUGAGCUGUACCCCAAACCCUUGUUUCUCAGGUUUUUCUUUAAUCCAGAAAGUGAGUAUUAGUGUUAGUAACAUGUAAAUGCAGACCAGAUAUUCAUCAAACAAGGAAUAUAGCUAUAAGAACCUUAAGUUGAGUUAAGGGAGAUUUUCCCAAAUUAUUGCAAAGG